rnacentral:lncRNA from 10 species
GCCAGGCUGGCUAUAUACGAGCACACUCUGCCCAGAGAAUCAGGAGAGCUGGCUGACAUUCUGUGCAUUCUAUCUUCAGAGGGAAAGUCUCCUGGGAGGCCCCAAGAAUUAAAGAAAAGUGGGUUGGAUGGUUUGCAGAGCCAAGUGACUGAGCUAAGAGCCCCUGAUAGACACAGGUCCGCUCCAAGGCUGUAACCACCAAACAGACAUGAGGAUCAAUAUCGACAGCUGGGAACCCCCCUCCCCACAAAACAGUGCUGAAAUUCUCUCACAAACUCAUCUUUACACUCUUCCAAAAUGCUGAAUCGGUCACCAGAGCUUCCACUAUUACUUCACCUAAUGACCGGCUUAGAAGCCCAACACCUGGUAGGUACUCAACAAGUAAAUGGAUGAGUUGGUGAAUUAAGUUUUAAAAUUACCUUCAUUUGCUACACAUUUAGAUAAGAUUCUGGAGCCAUUCUCCUCUUAGGAGUCAGUCGCACAUUAUUUCUCGGGAUGAGUUAUCUCCUGGGAAGAUUUCCAAAGAAUCAUUCAUUAGAUCACUUUUCACUUAUUUACUCACUAUUCAUCUAACAAACAUUUCCUGAGGGCCUACUACAUACAAGGCUCAACAGCACAUGUAAUGGGGCUUUUAAAAAAUUACAUAUUUGGGAGGCCGAGGCGGGCGGAUCACGA